GUUGUUCACAAACACAGCGGUCAGAUGCAGCGUGGAUGUGCGCCGCUGUCUUGACACGGAGAAAGGCGUAUUAAAGGAAGGAAAUUCUGGCUGCUUGAGCCUGCAGUCCUUGCACCACUCUUCCGUCAGUGCGUCCGUACAUCUGUGUCUUACCCGUCAUGCCUGGCGCGGCUUCAGCUCUGCGUCUGUCCGUGGUACGCUCACUGCGCCUGCGCGUCCCCACCUGGCUGGAACAUUGCGAUGCCUCCGAAAACCGGGUUUCUGUAGCCAAUCGCUCGCUCUGGAAAACGAAGCUAGGUGUUGACAGACCCAGCAGGUUGGGUGCCGGUUGGAGAUCGGGGCUAGGUGUUGAAAAACCCAGUCUGUAUGAAAGUCGGAACGCAAGGAAAGGGAGCCUAGGAAGCGCCAGGUUGUGGCUGGUGCAUCAAUGGAGAAAGCUCGGAGCUAGAAGCUGACUGAUUCCCAGAAAAGUGACAGUUUAGUGGACAAACGUCUCACGUCAGGCCCUAUAGGGCGUCUUCAAUAUUGCUGUCCUUGUACUUUGUUUCCAACUGAUGUUUGAAGGCAAGAUAGACUGAGUGUGAUAUUCUGGCUGUACCGUAUUUUAGACAUAAGAAAUCAACCAGAAAACUGCCAAAUAUUUUCCCUCUCGACGGUCCCGAAAGUCCGCUUCCUUGUGUCACAUUCAUUAUGUUGUAUUGAUAUGGUGGGAAUG